rnacentral:lncRNA from 1 species
AUCUGUUGUUUGGCUGUUUACUCAUUCACUCCAGUGUUCCUUGUUCCAGGCCCUGUUCUGGGUCCUGGGGAUGCGGAGAUGCAAAACAAACAUCUUGCCGGCAUGAAGCUGGUGUCCUGCUAGGGGAGAGACAGUCAACAAACACACAAGUCCGAUAUGAAGUCUGUCAGGCCGACACAGAUCGUUGCAAAUCUCUAGAAAACCAGAUCCGGGACUGGAGAGAAAAAAGAGGAAGACACUGACGUCAGGGAGAGAAGAAAGUGGAAGCCGAGACUUCUCAGGGCUUGUCCUGCAGAGGGCGGGGCGCCGCUCCUCGCCUCAGCGGUGAGUGGAGAGCUCCAGGCAAAGACCCUGGAGGGCGACGGUCCC